rnacentral:rRNA from 1 species
AUUGAACGCUGGCGGCAGGCCUAACACAUGCAAGUCGAGCGGAUGAAGGGUGCUUGCUCCUGGAUUCAGCGGCGGACGGGUGAGUAAUGCCUAGGAAUCUGCCUGGUAGUGGGGGAUAACGUCCGGAAACGGGCGCUAAUACCGCAUACGUCCUGCGGGAGAAAGUGGGGGAUCUUCGGACCUCACGCUAUCAGAUGAGCCUAGGUCGGAUUAGCUAGUUGGUGGGGUAAAGGCCUACCAAGGCGACGAUCCGUAACUGGUCUGAGAGGAUGAUCAGUCACACUGGAACGGAGACACGGUCCAGAGUCCUACGGGAGGCGGCAGUGGGGAAUAUUGGACCAGGGGCGGAAGCCUGAUCCAGCCAUGCCGCGUGUGUGAAGAAGGUCUUCGGAUUGUAGAGCACUUUAAGUUGGGAGGAAGGGCAGUUAGUUAGUACCUUGCUGUUUUGACGUUUCCUACAGAAUAAGCACCGGCUAACUUCGUG